GAGCUCUGCUCAAUGUUAUGCGGCAGAUUGGAUGGGAGGAAAUUUUAAAACAACCCUCAAGCCUCCUCAUUUGCAUGGGCAGGGAGCACAUGGUGAAAGAGCCUAAAGAUGACACAUUCUUCAACAUCACCUUCAGAUGUGACCGUGAAGGAUAAUGGAAAAGGGAUAGCUUCGCAGAAGAUGGAACCAGUAAUUAUAGAGAAAAAUGGUAACAGGAGUCCCACACAAAGAGCAGGACCAUAGUCUAAUCAAGGAAAAUUUUUCCACCCCAAGGAGCUGUCCCUCCUUCAGAGGGCUUUAGAAGCCAUGAAGAUGUGACUUCUGCUGUCAAAACUUCCCUGAGGGCCACUGACAGGCAUAAGGUACAUCCUGAUUUCUCUGACUCUAAGGAUACCACUGUAUCAGGCCAACACCUUGAUUCAGUCACUGGACAAAGGUUGAUGGUGCUCUUAUUAUGUUCUAGGAAUUGUGCUAAGCACAGAAAAAAACAAACAGCUAGUGUUAACUAAUAUAAG